ACUCCUACGGGAGGCAGCAGUGGGGAAUAUUGGACAAUGGGCGAAAGCCUGAUCCAGCCAUGCCGCGUGUGUGAAGAAGGUCUUCGGAUUGUAAAGCACUUUAAGUUGGGAGGAAGGGCAGUAAAUUAAUACUUUGCUGUUUUGACGUUACCGACAGAAUAAGCACCGGCUAACUCUGUGCCAGCAGCCGCGGUAAUACAGAGGGUGCAAGCGUUAAUCGGAAUUACUGGGCGUAAAGCGCGCGUAGGUGGUUCGUUAAGUUGGAUGUGAAAUCCCCGGGGCUCAACCUGGGGAACUGCAUUCAAAACUGUCGAGCUAGAGUAUGGUAGAGGGUGGUGGAAUUUCCUGUGUAGCGGUGAAAUGCGUAGAUAUAGGAAGGAACACCAGUGGCGAAGGCGACCACCUGGACUAAUACUGACACUGAGGUGCGAAAGCGUGGGGAGCAAACAGGAUUAGAUA
rnacentral:rRNA from 1 species